rnacentral:rRNA from 1 species
GAUGAACGCUGGCGGCGUGCCUAAUACAUGCAAGUCGAGCGAACGGACGAGAAGCUUGCUUCUCUGAUGUUAGCGGCGGACGGGUGAGUAACACGUGGAUAACCUACCUAUAAGACUGGGAUAACUUCGGGAAACCGGAGCUAAUACCGGAUAAUAUUUUGAACCGCAUGGUUCAAAAGUGAAAGACGGUCUUGCUGUCACUUAUAGAUGGAUCCGCGCUGCAUUAGCUAGUUGGUAAGGUAACGGCUUACCAAGGCAACGAUGCAUGGCCGACCUGAGAGGGUGAUUGGCCACACUGGAACUGAGACACGGUCCAGACUCCUACGGGAGGCAGCAGUAGGGAAUCUUCCGCAAUGGGCGAAAGCCUGACGGAGCAACGCCGCGUGAGUGAUGAAGGUCUUCGGAUCGUAAAACUCUGUUAUUAGGGAAGAACAUAUGUGUAAGUAACUGUGCACAUCUUGACGGUACCUAAUCAGAAAGCCACGGCUAACUACGUG